rnacentral:rRNA from 1 species
AUUGAACGCUGGCGGCAUGCUUUACACAUGCAAGUCGAACGGCAGCGGGGGCUUCGGCCCGCCGGCGAGUGGCGAACGGGUGAGUAAUGCAUCGGAACGUGCCCAGUCGUGGGGGAUAACACAUCGAAAGAUGUGCUAAUACCGCAUACGUCCUGAGGGAGAAAGCGGGGGAUCUUCGGACCUCGCGCGAUUGGAGCGGCCGAUGUCGGAUUAGCUAGUUGGUGGGUAAAGGCCCACCAAGGCGACGAUCCGUAGCGGGUCUGAGAGGAUGAUCCGCCACACUGGGACUGAGACACGGCCCAGACUCCUACGGGAGGCAGCAGUGGGGAAUUUUGGACAAUGGGGGCAACCCUGAUCCAGCCAUGCCGCGUGAGUGAAGAAGGCCUCGGU